AAAUACUUUAAGAAGAAACAUCUUGAUAAUAGGAUCUAGCUUUUUCCAAGAUUAAGUAAUUAAUUGUUCCAACUAUUGUUAUCUUCAGAUAAAUCGAAUCCUUUACUCCUCCCAAUUAAGUAAGAUUUACCCAGUAAGUUCUUAAUUUACAUUAUACAGCCGCCUGAAAAGCUCAGAAAUAUUUUUUCUUUUCAUAUUGUCAUUGCCUAAAUCUCUGCUUUUGAUCUGAAUUCCAUUAACACUGUGUCAAACAUACAGUGUUAUUAUUAGUAGUCACAUUACUAUUAUGUACUCUUAUUUUCCAGGCUCAUUUACUU